rnacentral:rRNA from 1 species
AGAGUUUGAUCCUGGCUCAGGACGAACGCUGGCGGCGUGCCUAACACAUGCAAGUCGAGCGGGGAACUUCGGUUCUCAGCGGCGGACGGGUGAGUAACACGUGGGUAACCUGCCUUGUAGAGGGGGAUAGCCUUCCGAAAGGAAGAUUAAUACCGCAUAACAUUAUGCUUUCGCAUGAGAGUAUAAUCAAAGGAGCAAUCCGCUACAAGAUGGACCCGCGGCGCAUUAGCUAGUUGGUGAGGUAACGGCUCACCAAGGCGACGAUGCGUAGCCGGCCUGAGAGGGUGAACGGCCACAUUGGAACUGAGACACGGUCCAGACUCCUACGGGAGGCAGCAGUGGGGAAUAUUGCACAAUGGGCGAAAGCCUGAUGCAGCAACGCCGCGUGAGUGAUGAAGGCCUUCGGGUUGUAAAGCUCUGUCUUCUGGGACGAUAAUGACGGUACCAGAGGAGGAAGCCACGGCUAACUACGUGCCAGCAGCCGCGGUAAUACGUAGGUGGCAAGCGUUGUCCGGAUUUACUGGGCGUAAAGGAUGCGUAGGCGGAUGCUUAAGUCAGAUGUGAAAAUCCCGAGCUUAACUUGGGAACUGCAUUUGAAACUGGGUAUCUAGAGUGCGGGAGAGGAGAGUGGAAUUCCUAGUGUAGCGGUGAAAUGCGUAGAGAUUAGGAAGAACACCAGUGGCGAAGGCGACUCUCUGGACCGUAACUGACGCUGAGGCAUGAAAGCGUGGGGAGCAAACAGGAUUAGAUACCCUGGUAGUCCACGCCGUAAACCAUGAAUACUAGGUGUGGGAGUUGUCAUGACUUCCGUGCCGCAGUUAACACAAUAAGUAUUCCGCCUGGGGAGUACGGUCGCAAGAUUAAAACUCAAAGGAAUUGA